rnacentral:lncRNA from 1 species
CUAUCCUAGGUUCAAAACAUCAAUUGGAGCCACUUUUGUUCGAACAUACCCCGAAAAAUGGCCGGAAGUGGCCGGAAUUGAAAAUCAAAAUCCGGCCGAAACUUAGGGUUUCAAAUUAAGUGCCCUAGUGCAACAAAUUCAGAAAUCCUACCCAACCAUCAGCUAAAGCAUUAAAAAUAGGAUAGAAACCAUACCUCAGGUGUCGGAAUUGGUCGCCGGAGGAGGGAGAACACGGCG